CCGGAUGUGGUGUAGCUGGGUAGCACGCUUGCCUUGGGAGCAAGUAGUGUGGGUUCAAAUCCUGCCGUUCGGA
rnacentral:tRNA from 1 species